GCGAAUGGCUCAUUAAAUCAGUUAUCGUUUAUUUGAUAGUACCUUACUACUUGGAUAACCGUGGUAAUUCUAGAGCUAAUACAUGCUAAAAACCUCGACUUCGGAAGGGGUGUAUUUAUUAGAUAAAAAACCAAUGCCCUUCGGGGCUCUUUGGUGAUUCAUAAUAACUUAACGAAUCGCAUGGCCUUGUGCCGGCGAUGGUUCAUUCAAAUUUCUGCCCUAUCAACUUUCGAUGGUAGGAUAGUGGCCUACCAUGGUUUCAACGGGUAACGGGGAAUUAGGGUUCUAUUCCGGAGAGGGAGCCUGAGACACGGCUACCACAUCCAAGGAAGGCAGCAGGCGCGCAAAUUACCCAAUCCCGACACGGGGAGGUAGUGACAAUAAAUACUGAUACAGGGCUCUUUUGGGUCUUGUAAUUGGAAUGAGUACAAUUUAAAUCCCUUAACGAGGAACAAUUGGAGGGCAAGUCUGGUGCCAGCAGCCGCGGUAAUUCCAGCUCCAAUAGCGUAUAUUAAAGUUGUUGCAGUUAAAAAGCUCGUAGUUGAACCUUGGGCCUGGCUGGCCGGUCCGCCUCACCGCGUGCACUGGUCCGGCCGGGCCUUUCCUUCUGGGGAGCCGCAUGCCCUUCACUGGGUGUGUCGGGGAACCAGGACUUUUACUUUGAAAAAAUUAGAGUGUUCAAAGCAGGCCUAUGCUCGAAUACAUUAGCAUGGAAUAAUAGAAUAGGACGUGUGGUUCUAUUUUGUUGGUUUCUAGGACCGCCGUAAUGAUUAAUAGGGAUAGUCGGGGGCAUCAGUAUUCAAUUGUCAGAGGUGAAAUUCUUGGAUUUAUUGAAGACUAACUACUGCGAAAGCAUUUGCCAAGGAUGUUUUCAUUAAUCAGUGAACGAAAGUUAGGGGAUCGAAGACGAUCAGAUACCGUCGUAGUCUUAACCAUAAACUAUGCCGACUAGGGAUCGGGCGAUGUUACUUUUUUGACUCGCUCGGCACCUUACGAGAAAUCAAAGUCU
rnacentral:rRNA from 1 species